GCGUGAUUAGUUUAGUGGUAAAAUUCUCCUUUCCCAUCGUAUAUGAGAUAGGGAGAGUCCCGAGUUCGAUCCUCGGAUCACGCA
rnacentral:tRNA from 1 species